rnacentral:rRNA from 1 species
AUUGCCCUAGUAACGGCGAGUGAAGCGGCAACAGCUCAAAUUUGAAAUCUGGCCUUCGGGUCCGAGUUGUAAUUUGCAGAGGAUGCUUUUGGUGAGGUGCCUUCCGAGUUCCCUGGAACGGGACGCCAUAGAGGGUGAGAGCCCCGUCUGGUCGGACACCAAUCCUUUGUAAAGCUCCUUCGACGAGUCGAGUAGUUUGGGAAUGCUGCUCUAAAUGGGAGGUAUAUGUCUUCUAAAGCUAAAUACCGGCCAGAGACCGAUAGCGCACAAGUAGAGUGAUCGAAAGAUGAAAAGCACUUUGAAAAGAGAGUUAAACAGUACGUGAAAUUGUUGAAAGGGAAGCGCUCAUGACCAGACUUGGGCUUGGUUGAUCAACUUGGGUUCUCCCGGGUGCACUCUUCCUCGUCCAGGCCAGCAUCAGUUCGCUGCGGGGGAUAAAGGUUUCGGGAAUGUGGCUCCCUCGGGAGUGUUAUAGCCCGUUGCGUAAUACCCUGCGGUGGACUGAGGUCCGCGCAUCUGCAAGGAUGCUGGCGUAAUGGUCAUCAGCGACCCGUCUUGAAACACGGACCAAGGAGUCGUCUUCGUAUGCGAGUGUUCGGGUGUUAAACCCCUACGCGGAAUGAAAGUGAACGCAGGUGAGAGCUUCGGCGCAUCAUCGACCGAUCCUGAUGUUCUCGGAUGGAUUUGAGUAAGAGCAUACGGGGCCGGACCCGAAAGAAGGUGAACUAUGCCUGUAUAGGGUGAAGCCAGAGGAAACUCUGGUGGAGGCUCGCAGCGGUUCUGACGUGCAAAUCGAUCGUCAAAUAUGGGCAUGGGGGCGAAAGACUAAU